UUUGAUCUAAGCGAAAAACUUUCUUUUAUGGGGUCGCUUUCUAUUUUUUAACCUUUCUUUAUUUCUUUAUUGAGUGUGAUUUCAAUUGGGAUGAUUUGAUAUGAGUGGUGGUUCGGAUUUAUUGUACAUUCUUUUAGAAUUAUGCUACUCUUUUGCGGUGUAGUUGGGUUUAAUUUGAUAAUGGGUAGGGUAUGUUUAUCAAAAUGUUUUUAAUCCAAGCCUUGCUUUUGAUUUUUUCAACUUAUGCUUGUUCUUGGAACGGAAUUUCAGUUGGAUAAUUUGAUAUAUCAAUGUCAAGAUUAUCAGUUUUGUUGAACAUGAAUAUAUGAUUUGAUGGUUUUAGUCUUAUUUUGUGUAGUCCAUUCACUUUGGGUUCUCCUUGUUUUAAGGUGUUCCUCCAUCAUCAGUCGCUGAUUCUAAUGGCGAUAGAGAUAAGAGAUAAUUUUGUACAAAUUAGCAUCAUUUUGUUUUGUAAAUUCAGAAUUAUCACUUUAAUGGAUCUUUUGUUGUGCUUCCCGUAGGGAUAGAAGCGGAGAUGACACAUUGACCACUGUCAGAGAUCGGAAAGUCAGAAUAAUAGAUGGGGCUUCUCUAUAUGCACUUUGCCGAUCAUGGUUGAGGAAUGGUUAUCCAGAAGAAAGUCAGCCACAGUAUGGGGAUGCUGUGAAGUCUCUUCAAAAACCUUUGCCUAUACCCGUGUCAGCCACUCAUCUGCCAAAGAACAAGGAAGCUGAAGAAGAAGAAGCAGAGGAUAAGGAGGAGCUGUACCCAUUAGGUAUGCAUAUUGAAAUUAGCACUUUAACUUUGGAGACCAUAUUCGGUAAUUCUUGUAUCCUCUUGGG